rnacentral:rRNA from 1 species
UACGUAGGGUCCAAGCGUUAUCCGGAAUCACUGGGCGUAAAGCGUGCGUAGGCGGAUGUUUAAGUGUAAUGCGAAAUCCUGUGGCUCAACCAUAUGGACUGUAUUGCAUACUGGAUAUCUGGAGGAAUGCAGAGGCAAGUGGAAUUACUGGUGUAGCAGUGAAAUGCGUAGAUAUCAGUAGGAACACCAAUGGCGAAGGCAGCUUGCUGGGCAUUUUCUGACGCUAAGGCACGAAAGCGUGGGGAGCGAACAGA